CCCUGAAGAUAUUCCCAGUGUGGGGCCGCAAUGUGAACAGUUGCCGGCCUGCGUUGGCAUUUCCACCUCAGAGGCAGAGUCCGCACUUGUGGAGGGAGACGAUGCGGGCUCGCAGGGAGUGCUGAGGGAAUUCCCCUGGACGGCACUUUCCUCUCCGCACUUGCGUCCUGCCUGAGCGCUGCGCCUUUAAACUCCGCUCGGGGCUCGGUGUCAGCGGCCCAGAGGCACUCGUAGAGGUGAGCGCUGGACUGGGACGCUGGGUUUGGAGUAGGACCUUCAGUGCGAGGCGAGACUCCCACUUUUCCGGCUCGCUCGGACUGGCGGGCAAUGCUCUGCAGACCCUGAGCCAGCACCACCCCGACUCUGAGGCCGAGCACCCUGCGCCACCAGCCAUGAGCAGCUUCCAGCUGGAAGACUUUGCGGCGGGCUGGAUCGGAGGAACAGCCAGUGUCAUUGUUGGCCACCCUCUGGACACAGUCAAGACUCGCCUGCAGGCUGGCAUCGGCUACAGGAGCACCCUCAGCUGCAUCCGCAGGGUAUACAAGAGGGAGAGUGUGUUCGGCUUCUUCAAGGGCAUGUCCUUCCCCCUGGCCAGCAUUGCUGUCUACAACUCGGUGGUGUUUGGGGUCUUCAGCAAUAUUCGGAGGUUCCUCGGCCAGCACCACUGUGAGGAGCCUGAGGCUGGCCCUCGCCACAGCCUGUCUGACCUGUUCCUGGCCAGCAUGGUGGCCGGCGUGGUGUCUGUUGGGCUUGGGGGGCCCGUGGACCUGAUCAAGAUCCGGCUGCAGAUGCAAACACAGCCAAUUCGGGAAGCCAACCUUGGUUUGAAAUCCAGAGCACUUGCCUUUGGUGAGCAGCCAGUGUACCAGGGACCGGUACACUGCAUUGUAACCAUCAUGCGGAAUGAGGGCCUGGCUGGUCUGUACCGGGGGGCCAGCGCCAUGAUGCUGAGAGACAUCCCAGGCUAUUGCCUCUACUUCAUCCCUUAUGUGUUCCUGAGUGAGUGGAUCACACCUGAGACCCACACAGGGCCCAGCCCUUGCACAAUGCUGUUGGCAGGUGGUGUGGCAGGAGCAAUUUCCUGGGGGACAGCGACUCCAAUGGAUGUUGUGAAAAGCCGACUCCAAGCUGAUGGGGUUUAUUUAAAUAAAUACAAAGGUGUCUUGGACUGUAUAUCCCAGAGUUACCAGCAGGAAGGCCUUAAAGUGUUUUUCAGAGGCAUCACCGUGAAUGCUGUGCGGGGCUUCCCUACAAGCGCCGCCAUGUUUCUUGGGUAUGAGCUCUCACUACAGGCACUCCGUGGGGACCACAACGUGACAGACCCAUGAGCACCAGGGUUGAUAUCACCUGAACAAGGCCUCAUUCCACAGCAGGUCAAUGCUGGUGGCAUCUACAGAGUGAGUGACAGUGAAUUUACCGCAGAGAAAGAAGGACCUUGGCCAUCCAGGCUCUCAACCAGGCCCCUGGAGAUGCCACUGGCCCAGAGAAACCUGCUCCACUCAAGUGAGCAGAGGAACUAUGGACGGAGGCCUCUCAUCCAUCCCCCAGGGCAGGGGUUCCAUUCCGGGCGAUUUCUUUCUGGACUCCCAGCUGGCUCAGCUGUGCUGCCCACCUUUGCCAGGUUGUAACAAUUUUUGUCACCCCCCCUCCCACCCCCGUGCUGAGUAGCUGAUGCCUCCAACACACUUUGUGCAUCCAGUUUCAGAGCUGAAAACAAAUGAAACUCAAUUGUAGUGUAGAUGCUCGACUCCAACCUUGACAAAUCUCACGCCAGGAACAGGGAGGGAUCAUCCAGCACUGGCCCCCACUCCCUCUUAUAUUUCCAUGGAGAAGGUGGCUUCUUGAUAAAUCUCAACUCUGAACCGCAGGAAGGACACUGACGGCAGCACACCUUUCUGCAGCGCAUCCUCCUCGGAGCUGAGUGCAGGAGUCAAUCUUGUAACUUACACAGCUUUUUCAGCAAAGGGAGGAAAGAUCCAAGCCAGCAGGACACCCAGCUGUGGGGGUAGCUGCCACUUGGAUGCCAUGUAGCCAACCGGUCUGCAGCUACAGGAGCCUCUGCCCAGCUACAACCAGCCCAGCCCUGGAUGAAGAGUAAAAGGUCUCUGACUUAGAAAAAAUAACCUGUUUUAUUCAUGCAGCACACCAAUCCCUUAUUGCCGUUCUG